CCUACGGGUGGCAGCAGUGAGGAAUAUUCGUCAAUGGGCGGAAGCCUGAACCAGCCAAGUCGCGUGCAGGAUGACGGCCCUACGGGUUGUAAACUGCUUUUAUACGGGAAUAACGCGCCUUACGUGAAGGGCUUUGCAUGUACCGUAUGAAUCAGGACCGGCUAAUCUCGUGCCAUCAGCCGCGGUACUACGGAAGGUCCGUGCGUUAUCCGGAUUUAUUGGGUUUAAAGGGAGCGUAGGCCGCAUGUCAAGCGUGCUGUGAAAUGUCCGGGCUCAACCCGGGCCUUGCAGCGCGAACUGGCGUGCUUGAGUCCGCGGAAGGCAGGCGGAAUUCGUGGUGUAGCGGUGAAAUGCUUAGAUAUGACGAAGAACCCCGAUUGCGAAGGCAGCUUGCUGCAGCGGAACUGACGCUGAUGCUCGAAAGCGCGGGUAUCGAACAGGAUUAGAUACCCUAGUAGUC
rnacentral:rRNA from 1 species